AAUGUGUUUGGAUUACGAAUACAAUAUAUUCGUUUAUCAAAUAGCAGUAAUAGCAGUAAUAGCAAUAAUUAGUAAGCAAGAAAUGAAGGAGAUAAAGAACUUAAUUACCUACGUCCGUUCAGGAGACACUAAACACCGCUUAUAAUUAAUUAUUAAACUAAUUUAUCACUAAUUAAUAAAUAUUUUUACAAAUGAAGCUACUUAUCGAAUUACAGCGAGUUAAAUGAAAUUAUCGAUUGACCUUUUAAGCGUUUUGACGCAUAUAUUUGUUCUCACAUAAACAUUCAAUUUAGGCUAGUUAGGCAUAUGUGGGAUCUGACAAAACCAUUUUAUUUUCAUUUUGCAAUGAAAAUUCAGUUUGCUUAACUUGCGCUUUUUCGUAAAAAAUACGCAGCUCCAAGUGUGCUUUUUUGUAAAGAGUGGGCAGUCAACGGCGCACGUUUAACGUCGGACUACGCAGCGCUCAAAGGUUUAAGCAAAAUGUUGUCAAGCUACUUAUACUUUUUAGUUUAGGAAAUGAUUAUAAAAGUCGACUAAACCACACGCUUAGACGAUCUAAGAAAAGUUAAACAAUAAAAGCUAAGAAAACGGUAAAUUUGUACAUCGUGAAAUCAUUUUAAAUUAGCUGUAAGAAAUACGCGAAAUAAGCAGCAAGUCGUUUAGAAUUUUUGGUAGGCCUCGGCGAAAAAAGCAUUGAGCGUAAAGGAUUCAAAUGCAGUCAAAUGGUUCGUAUUACUUAAUUCUCAUUAUAGUAUUCUGAGAUAUUUUUUUUCUAGUAUCUAUGUGUUCAGAUACUUUGAAAUCUUAAGUAUCAAUAGCUAUUAAUUUUCUAUAUCGUAUGCUAUUAUAGGAUAGUAUAAUCUUAUGGUGUUUAUUUGUUCACGUCUAUUAGCAUUAAGAAGACAAAUAAAUAAUUCAGAAUAAAUUGUUUGAUGUCAA
rnacentral:lncRNA from 1 species